rnacentral:lncRNA from 1 species
UUUGUGAGUGGUCAGGCAGGGAACAAUGACACUGGAGUGCGCAUGCACGAGACGACUCCAUGUUUUUCUUUCAGUCUAUGAAUGAAUAUAACGUCGCCCGGUUGGAAUAUUAUCGCUAUUUUACGAGAAAAAUAGCAUAAAAAUUUAUUUUAAACAGCGUUUGACAUGCUUCGAAGUACGGUAAUGGAAUAUUUUGAUUUUUUUUGUCACGAAAUGCACCGGCGCGUCACCCUUCGGAUAGUGACCUCAACGCAUGAACAAAACGGAGCUAUUUCAAUAUAACUAUGGAUUAUUUCGAACCAAAACAACAUUUGUUGUUGAAGUAAAAGUCCUGGGAGUGCAUUCUGACAAAGAACAGGAAAGGAGGACCUGAGUCCUAGGACCAUGCCUCAGGACUACCUGGCAUGAUGACUCCUUGUUGUCCCCAGGCCACCUGGCCGUGCUGCUGCUCCAGUUUCAACUGUUCUGCCUGCGGCUAUGGAACACUGACCUGUUCACUGUGAUUACUAUUAUUUGACCAUGCUGGUCAUUUAUGAACAUUUGAACAUCUUGGCCAUGUUCUGUUAUAAUCUCCACCCGGCACAGCCAGAAGAGGACUGGUCACCCCUCAUAGCCUGGUUCUACACCUGCAUUGCUUGCUGUUUGGGAUUUUAGGCUGGGUUUCUGUACAGCACUUUGAUAUAUCAGCUGAUGUAAGAAGGGCUCUAUAAAUAAAUUUGAUGUGAUUUUGAUUUGAUGGUGUGAGGGUGCUUUGCUGGUGACACUGUUGGUGAUUUAUUUACAGUUUAGGGCACACUUAAUCUGCAUGGCUACCACAUCAUUCUGCAGCAAUAUCCCAUCCCAUCUGGUUUGCGCUUAGUGGAAUAUAAUUUGUUUUUAAACAGGACAACCACCCAAAACACACCUCCAGGCUGUGUAAGGGCUAUUUGACCAAGAAGGAGAGUGAUGGAGUGCUGCAUCAGUUCACCUGGCCUCCACAAUCACCCAGCCGCAACCCAAUUUAUAAUGGUUUGGGAUGAAAUGGACCGCAGAGUGAAGAAAAAGCAG